AUACCUACGGGACGCAGCAGUGGGGAAUAUUGCACAAUGGGGGGAACCCUGAUGCAGCGACGCCGCGUGGGUGAAGGAGCACCUCGGUGCGUAAAGCCCUAUCGGCAGGGAAGAAAAGCGAACAGGUUCGCCUGGACGGUACCUCACUAAGAAGCCCCGGCUAACUACGUGCCAGCAGCCGCGGUAAUACGUAGGGGGCAAGCGUUAUCCGGAUUCACUGGGUGUAAAGGGAGCGUAGACGGCGACGCAAGCCAGGGGGGAAAGCCCGGGGCCCAACCCCGGGACUGGCCUUGGAACUGCAUGGG
rnacentral:rRNA from 1 species